GGGUUGUGAGGUUAAGCGACUAAGCGUACACGGUGGAUGCCCUGGCAGUCAGAGGCGAUGAAGGACGUGCUAAUCUGCGAUAAGCGUCGGUAAGGUGAUAUGAACCGUUAUAACCGGCGAUUUCCGAAUGGGGAAACCCAGUGUGAUUCGUCACACUAUCAUUAACUGAAUCCAUAGGUUAAUGAGGCGAACCGGGGGAACUGAAACAUCUAAGUACCCCGAGGAAAAGAAAUCAACCGAGAUUCCCCCAGUAGCGGCGAGCGAACGGGGAGCAGCCCAGAGCCUGAAUCAGUGUGUGUGUUAGUGGAAGCGUCUGGAAAGGCGCGCGAUACAGGGUGACAGCCCCGUACACAAAAAUGCACAUGCUGUGAGCUCGAUGAGUAGGGCGGGACACGUGGUAUCCUGUCUGAAUAUGGGGGGACCAUCCUCCAAGGCUAAAUACUCCUGACUGACCGAUAGUGAACCAGUACCGUGAGGGAAAGGCGAAAAGAACCCCGGCGAGGGGAGUGAAAAAGAACCUGAAACCGUGUACGUACAAGCAGUGGGAGCACAGAGCAAUCUGUGUGACUGCGUACCUUUUGUAUAAUGGGUCAGCGACUUAUAUUCUGUAGCAAGGUUAACCGAAUAGGGGAGCCGAAGGGAAACCGAGUCUUAACUGGGCGUUAAGUUGCAGGGUAUAGACCCGAAACCCGGUGAUCUAGCCAUGGGCAGGUUGAAGGUUGGGUAACACUAACUGGAGGACCGAACCGACUAAUGUUGAAAAAUUAGCGGAUGACUUGUGGCUGGGGGUGAAAGGCCAAUCAAACCGGGAGAUAGCUGGUUCUCCCCGAAAGCUAUUUAGGUAGCGCCUCGUGAAUUCAUCUCCGGGGGUAGAGCACUGUUUCGGCAAGGGGGUCAUCCCGACUUACCAACCCGAUGCAAACUGCGAAUACCGGAGAAUGUUAUCACGGGAGACACACGGCGGGUGCUAACGUCCGUCGUGAAGAGGGAAACAACCCAGACCGCCAGCUAAGGUCCCAAAGUCAUGGUUAAGUGGGAAACGAUGUGGGAAGGCCCAGACAGCCAGGAUGUUGGCUUAGAAGCAGCCAUCAUUUAAAGAAAGCGUAAUAGCUCACUGGUCGAGUCGGCCUGCGCGGAAGAUGUAACGGGGCUAAACCAUGCACCGAAGCUGCGGCAGCGACGCUUAUGCGUUGUUGGGUAGGGGAGCGUUCUGUAAGCCUGUGAAGGUGUACUGUGAGGUAUGCUGGAGGUAUCAGAAGUGCGAAUGCUGACAUAAGUAACGAUAAAGCGGGUGAAAAGCCCGCUCGCCGGAAGACCAAGGGUUCCUGUCCAACGUUAAUCGGGGCAGGGUGAGUCGACCCCUAAGGCGAGGCCGAAAGGCGUAGUCGAUGGGAAACAGGUUAAUAUUCCUGUACUUGGUGUUACUGCGAAGGGGGGACGGAGAAGGCUAUGUUAGCCGGGCGACGGUUGUCCCGGUUUAAGCGUGUAGGCUGGUUUUCCAGGCAAAUCCGGAAAAUCAAGGCUGAGGCGUGAUGACGAGGCACUACGGUGCUGAAGCAACAAAUGCCCUGCUUCCAGGAAAAGCCUCUAAGCAUCAGGUAACAUCAAAUCGUACCCCAAACCGACACAGGUGGUCAGGUAGAGAAUACCAAGGCGCUUGAGAGAACUCGGGUGAAGGAACUAGGCAAAAUGGUGCCGUAACUUCGGGAGAAGGCACGCUGAUAUGUAGGUGAAGUCCCUCGCGGAUGGAGCUGAAAUCAGUCGAAGAUACCAGCUGGCUGCAACUGUUUAUUAAAAACACAGCACUGUGCAAACACGAAAGUGGACGUAUACGGUGUGACGCCUGCCCGGUGCCGGAAGGUUAAUUGAUGGGGUCAGCGCAAGCGAAGCUCUUGAUCGAAGCCCCGGUAAACGGCGGCCGUAACUAUAACGGUCCUAAGGUAGCGAAAUUCCUUGUCGGGUAAGUUCCGACCUGCACGAAUGGCGUAAUGAUGGCCAGGCUGUCUCCACCCGAGACUCAGUGAAAUUGAACUCGCUGUGAAGAUGCAGUGUACCCGCGGCAAGACGGAAAGACCCCGUGAACCUUUACUAUAGCUUGACACUGAACAUUGAGCCUUGAUGUGUAGGAUAGGUGGGAGGCUUUGAAGUGUGGACGCCAGUCUGCAUGGAGCCGACCUUGAAAUACCACCCUUUAAUGUUUGAUGUUCUAACGUGGACCCGUGAUCCGGGUUGCGGACAGUGUCUGGUGGGUAGUUUGACUGGGGCGGUCUCCUCCUAAAGAGUAACGGAGGAGCACGAAGGUUGGCUAAUCCUGGUCGGACAUCAGGAGGUUAGUGCAAUGGCAUAAGCCAGCUUGACUGCGAGCGUGACGGCGCGAGCAGGUGCGAAAGCAGGUCAUAGUGAUCCGGUGGUUCUGAAUGGAAGGGCCAUCGCUCAACGGAUAAAAGGUACUCCGGGGAUAACAGGCUGAUACCGCCCAAGAGUUCAUAUCGACGGCGGUGUUUGGCACCUCGAUGUCGGCUCAUCACAUCCUGGGGCUGAAGUAGGUCCCAAGGGUAUGGCUGUUCGCCAUUUAAAGUGGUACGCGAGCUGGGUUUAGAACGUCGUGAGACAGUUCGGUCCCUAUCUGCCGUGGGCGCUGGAGAAUUGAGGGGGGCUGCUCCUAGUACGAGAGGACCGGAGUGGACGCAUCACUGGUGUUCGGGUUGUCAUGCCAAUGGCACUGCCCGGUAGCUAAAUGCGGAAGAGAUAAGUGCUGAAAGCAUCUAAGCACGAAACUUGCCCCGAGAUGAGUUCUCCCUGACUCCUUGAGAGUCCUGAAGGAACGUUGAAGACGACGACGUUGAUAGGCCGGGUGUGUAAGCGCAGCGAUGCGUUGAGCUAACCGGUACUAAUGAACCGUGAGGCUUAACCUUACAACGCCGAAGCUGUU
rnacentral:rRNA from 1 species